rnacentral:rRNA from 1 species
GACAGAGGGUGCAAACGUUGUUCGGAAUUACUGGGCGUAAAGCGCGUGUAGGCGGCCAUCUAAGUCGGGCGUGAAAUCCCACGGCUCAACCGUGGAAGUGCACUCGAAACUGGAUGGCUAGAGUCCUGGAGAGGAAGGUGGAAUGCUUGGUGUAGAGGUGAAAUUCGUAGAUAUCGAGAGGAACACCGGUGGCGAAGGCGGCCUUCUGGACAGUGACUGACGCUGAGACGCGAAAGCGUGGGGAGCAAACAGG